rnacentral:rRNA from 1 species
CCUACGUGAGGCAGCAGUGGGGAAUAUUGGGCAAUGGGCGCAAGCCUGACCCAGCAACGCCGCGUGAAGGAAGAAGGCUUUCGGGUUGUAAACUUCUUUUCUCAGGGACGAAGCAAGUGACGGUACCUGAGGAAUAAGCCACGGCUAACUACGUGCCAGCCGCCGCGGGAAUACGUGGGGGGCAAGCGUUAUCCGGAUUUACUGGGGGGAAAGGGCGUGUAGGCGGGGCUGCAAGUCAGAUGUGAAAACCACGGGCUCAACCUGUGGCCUGAAUUUGAAACUGUAGUUCUUGAGUACUGGAGAGGGAGAUGGAAUUCCUAGUGUAGCGGUGAAAUGCGUAGAGAUGAGGAGGAACACCAGUGGCGAAGGCGGUCUGCUGGACAGCAACUGACGCUGAGGCGCGAAAGCGUGGGGAGCAAACAGGAUUAGAUACCCCUGUAGUC